GACCACGGUCCGGGGUCCGACUGGACGGAGCGUAGCUCUUCUGCAGAGCCGCCCGCAGUGGCCGGGACCGAGGGCGGCGGCGGCGGAUCAGCUGGACACUUAUUACCAGAAUUCCAAAGGUUCUGAUGGAAUCAAAGAUGGAUACAAAGUUAACUCACACAUAGCUAAGCUGCAAGAGUUAUGGAAAACUCCUCAAAAUCAAAUAAUCCGCUUCCCCAAAUCAAUGAUGGAUGUAUCCUUUCUCAAGCAUCCAGACCUCACUGCAGGCCAGAAGCGUUAUCUGUGCAGUAUUGCUAAAAUCUAUAAUGCGAACUAUCUGAAGAUGUUAAUGAAGAGGCAGUACAUGCAUGUAAUUCAGCGCAGCUCACAAAAGCCAGGUGUCCUCACUCAUCACAGAAGCCGCCUUAGCUCUCGUUACUCACAGAAACAGCAUUACCCCUCGCUACAUGGCGACACCAACUGGAGGGAGAGGACUUGGGGCCCUCUGAUGUUGCAGCUGCAUCUGCACCUGAAACGCUCCUACAGCAUUCCCUUUGGCGACCAGUGAGAAACAAAGAAGGGAUAAAAACUGGGUAUGCAUCUAAAACAAGAUAUAAGUCACUGAAGAUUUUUAGAAGACCAAGGAAACUGUUCAUGCAACCAGUUUCUUCAAAUGAUUCUGAAUCAUACAUGAGUGAAGAAAACAAGGAAGAAGAUUUACUAAAUAAAUUUAUGCAAUCAAUGUCAAUUGAAGAACAGGGAGAACAUCUGAUGUUAACUUGACAGUCUCGUCUUGUACAUUGAAUUCGUGCCAAACGUGAGGGUAAGGGGUUGUGAGUUGUGUCCUCUGUGUUUAGGUUGAUAUUGUUACUCCUUAAAUCAUUAAGUAAUUUUGUUUUGUUCAGAAAUUUUUACAACAGUGUAACUGGUCUGAUGUAGUUCCAUGUACCAAUGACAUUUAUUUAAGAAAAUAUACAUGUAAUAUACUUGUACUUCUAGCUAGAUAUAAUUAAAGCUUUUCUUGCUUUCAAAAAA